AUUAUUUUUUAGCGUGCAUUUUUCUGUGCCUCUUUCGAGACCGUGAAAAAAACAACAACCAAAACCUCGGUCACGAAAAGUUUGUUCCGUUUUUUCCUUCGAGGAUGCAGAAAAACAGCGAUGGUACAUUGUGCGGCCUACGGCUUGAGGAAACAGGUAAGUUGGUGAACGUAAGUCAUGAAUACAGCGUUAUUGAUUACGUUUUUCUUUUUCAGUUCAACAAAAGGAGAAUUGAAGACCCGGCUACCGCCUGGGCCACAAGAAAAAUACGCAUCAAAAACGAUUUCAAACCACGUCCGUAGCAACAUCUUCCUGUUACACCGACGGACUUGUACCCCGGCAGCAGCAUCACCAGAACACCAGAUAUAAUCCUCGGCAGGAUCAUAUCCAUAAUCCCGAUCCUUGCUUAAUCAUUCCGGGAGGGC